rnacentral:lncRNA from 13 species
CUUAGGAAGAAAUGAAAAUCCUUUAUAAUGUUUGUCCUGAAAACUUAAAUCUUUUUAAUCAUGUGUACAAUUAGGGCAGGCAAAACAAUUUUUGUGUUAUGCCCUUGAAUAGUUCUUGCUCACCAGUCAUUUAAAUUGUGUAGCUUUAACUUCAGUUCCUGUCAUCACACAUUAGGAUGAAGAUGUGUGAUGGAUCUACCCAAGCAAGGCACUGUAGAACAUGUCGCACUGUUCUGCCACUGAGCAGAUGAGAAGCUGGGUAUUCAUCCACCACUGUCCAACUGUCAUUGACUGAAUGCUGUUUCCAGAAGGACUCACUCUCUUACUUUGCAUGUGAGCACAGAGUGUUCCCGUGUCAAUAUCAAAUUCCACUAUUUCUCAAACCCUCUCAUCCUAUCAUUCUGGUGGGUGUGCUCCGUAUUUCUGAAAAAGCCCUUUCUUUCCAAGGGCUUUUUUCAGGAUCUUCUGUGAGCUCAGCUUCUCCGGCUGGAAGUGCCAGGGAAUUACAUCACCAUAUUCCUUCUUUUGCUGGCGCUGCUGGUCUUUCUUCUUUUUCUGAGAAAAAGUGCUGCACUUUAAGAAGCAAACUAUAUACAACAAAAGGAAAUGAACAAAAAACUUCUAAGAUCUUUCUGAUCAUUUAG